UACGUAGGGAGCAAGCGUUAUCCGGAUUUAUUGGGUGUAAAGGGUGCGUAGACGGAGAUACAAGUUGGUUGUGAAAUCCCUUGGCUUAACCAAGGAACUGCAACCAAAACUAUAUCCCUUGAGUACUGGAGGGGAAAGCGGAAUUCCUAGUGUAGCGGUGAAAUGCGUAGAUAUUAGGAGGAACACCGGUGGCGAAGGCGGCUUUCUGGACAGUAACUGACGUUGAGGCACGAAAGUGUGGGGAGCAAACA
rnacentral:rRNA from 1 species